rnacentral:misc_RNA from 1 species
GUGAAUCAUCAAAUUUUUGAACGCAAAUUGCACUCUCUUCGAAGAGUAUGCGUGUUUGAGGGUGAGCCUCAAAAAAAAUCGACAUAGUCGCUGUUUCGCGGUGUCAUUCGUCGGCAAUUGGGUUAUCUUAUAUUUUUGGGGUUUAAGUGACUUAAAAUUUUCUUUACGUUUCUUCGAACGUUUUUAAGUUUUAUUUCUUACGUGUUCAAGGUCUCGAACUUUAUUUGACC